GGAAGCUUUGGUAAAUGGGGAGUUUCCAGUAUCCUGUGGAAACUCACCUGGAUAAAGGAAGUAAGACAAUGCCUGGAGGAUGAUGUGAGAAAAUAAAAUGCCUUCGUGAUGAGAUGAACUGAGGGUUUUCUAGAGCUAAAACGGACUCUUCUGCUGAAAUCUCCAAUUCAACAAAAGGGUAUCUCAAUGGAAUUUCUAAUCCCAAGAUCAAGACUUUCCAUCACUUUCAAUCUGCACCUCUGCUAUAAAGUUCUACUCUAGAGAAAACCAACACAAGGAGCUAAAUAAUCUAAGCCCCUGACCCUGGCCUAUGAAACCUGAAAUCCAAGACUGAGGAAAUGGAACUGAAACAGUUGAACUAAGAAAGCAUAUUUAUUUCAACGACAAGUAUUUUAAUAAAAAUGAGGAGGUAUGGCUGGGUUCGUCUGCCAUUUUUCAUACAACCUGGAUUUAUUUCCCCAUAAAAAUGUGUGUGUGCCUGUAUAAAAUAAAACUAAA